CCAAUUUUACCCUCAUCUUUAAUGAAGAGUAAAAGACAUUUAUAACCUUUGACAAAAAAAACAUAUGGUUAGGUUAACUAAUCUAAACUUAAAACAUCAACUCUAAACCUUAAAUCAUCAACUCUAAACCCUAAACCAUGAAACAUCAAUUCUAAACCCUAAACUCCGAAACAUAGACUUUAAACCUUAAACCCUAAAACUUCAAAUCUAAACCCUAAAACAUCAACUCUAAACCCUAAACGUAAACUCUAAACCCUAAAUUUAAACUUAAAACAUCAACUUUAAACCCUAAAUCAUCAACUCUAAACCCUAAACCCUAAACCUUCAAAUCAAAACACUAAAACAUCAACUCUAAACCCUAAACGUAAACCCUAAACCCUAAACCUUAUAUUUUUCUGAAAUCUGAAC
rnacentral:lncRNA from 1 species